rnacentral:lncRNA from 10 species
CUCUGUUGCCCAGGCUGGAGUGCAGUGGCACGAUCUCGGCUCACUGCAAACUCCGCAUCCCAGGUUCACGCCAUUCUCCUGCCUCAGCCUCCCGAGUAGCUGGGACUACAGGCACCCGCCACGACGCCCAGCUAAGUUUUUGUAUUUUUAGUAGAGAUGGGGUUUCACCAUGUUAGCCAUGAUGGUCUCGAUCUCCUGACCUUGUGAUCCACCUGCCUUGGCCUCCCACAGUGCUGGGAUUACAGGCGUGAGCCACCGUGCCUGGCGUUUUUUUUUUUGUUUUUUUUGUUUUUUUUUUUUUGUUAGUAGAGACGGGGUUUCACUGUGUUGGCCAGGCUGGUCUCGAAAUCCUGACCUCGUGAUCCACCUGCUUUGACCUCCAAAAGUGCUGGGAUUACAGGCAUGAGCCACUGGGCCUGGCCAGUUUUUGAAUUUCUUAGAGAAAUGCAUUGAAAGAAAUUACUGUAUUUCACUUGAAUAAGGAGUGAUUUAGUUUAAAGUCUUGGCAGUUUACAGGCUGGUUUCGUAGCUUCUCAUUUGGGCUAGUUUUCUUGAAAAUUCUCUGAGGUAGUUGAGUGCCUCCAUUUCACAAAUGAGGGGACAAAGUUCGUGGAAAGUGGAAGAAUGGGAAAUUCCAUCCUAGACUUCUGUUUCUGGGUCCUGUUUGAUUUACAGAAUUUGCAUGCUGCUCACAUCAAAUGAAGAUCAACUGUGUGAAGCUGAGUGGGGGAAUGGUGUUUGCUUAAGGUAUGAAGAAUGCUUCCAAAAGCUCAAUGUUUAAUGAGUUUUAAUUUGUUGGGCAUCUUGCAGAUCUGUUGCUUAAAGCAUAAACAAGAGAAUUUUAAGAAAAGAUAGCUUCUUGUAUGAGCUAAAAUUUCUAAUAGGUAAUAUUACAAAAUGUGGUCCAAAACACAAAAUGUUCAGAAAGGGAUAGUGAAGUCUCCUUUCUAACAUACUGUCUUCAGACCCCCUACCUCUAUCCCAGACCCCUCCUUACAUAGUUUAGAAGCAAUAAUUCUUACCAGUUUCAUGCAUAUCCUCUGAGAUAUAUUUCAUGUAUUUUUAAGUGUAGAUUUUGUGUAUUUUUUAACAGUCCUUUAAAAAAUUGGUGCUUGCUCCAUACUGUGCAUACAGUGGCCUUGUUUUUUAAAUGGCUCUAAGCUAACCUUUUAAUGACUUAUUUAUAAAAGCUAGGUUCUUUAUUUUUGCAAUUUGCACUGGAAUGUUAAUUCCAUGAUAAAUAGAAAGCUUUUUUUUUUUUUAAUUAAAAAGAAGUACAUUAGGUUUCAAAGUCAUUUUCCAAAUGUGUAUAAACUUCCAAGUGAAAUCCCUGGAAUAACAUGGCUCUAAAGCCUGAUUCAAAUCUGUUAUUUUGUAGUCAAGGAAUUCAUAGGGUAUGCCGGGUAGAAAACAGUUAAGGGUCAAUAAAUUAUAGUUGGAAGUCCUCCUGUCCUGGGGCAGUAAAACUCAUGACUUGGUGUCACAUGUAGAAGGCUGUGGGGAUAUGUCCUAAGUGGUUAAUUAAGUGCACCAAUUUAAUAUUUGUAAAAAUGCUGUCCCUGUUAUUCCCUAUGAUACGAAUAUUUCACCAAAGCCAAGGCUGUUGCUCACUCAGGUAUAUAUAGAAAUCUGAAAAGAUGACAGAAAUUUACCAUAUGAUAAUUCCAACAUUAAUUUCAGACUGCUAUCUCAUGCCCUGGAGAAGGAGCUGAGCCUGUUGGUGGCACAUGUUCAGUGUGUCCCUCUGUUAGAAGGA